UACAGAGGGGGCAAGCGUUGUUCGGAAUUACUGGGCGUAAAGGGCGCGUAGGCGGCCUGUUAAGUCGAACGUGAAAUCCCCGGGCUCAACCCGGGAACUGCGUCCGAUACUGGCAGGCUUGAAUUCGGGAGAGGGAUGCGGAAUUCCAGGUGUAGCGGUGAAAUGCGUAGAUAUCCGGAGGAACACCGGUGGCGAAGGCGGCUUCCUGGACCGACACUGACGCUGAGGCGCGAAAGCUAGGGGAGCAAACGGG
rnacentral:rRNA from 1 species